CAUUUUGCUCUUUAUUGAUAAUGUGUGUUCUUAUUUUGAAUAUUUAUCAUUAAACAUUGUAAUAACACAAAUCUGUGUGAAUUUUUGUGUGUCCAAGCUUCCUUCUUUAGUACCAAGUGGUCGCUUCCACUUUACUCGUCCAUUUCUUGUGGAUUUCAGUUUCUAAUUCCGGAUGGGCUUGAAAAUCAGAACACUAUUCAGCUUAAGCUUUGAGUGAUACAGUAGUUUAUAAAUUCCUAAACGUGGUUCCAACAAGUGUAUUAUGUAGCUUUAGCUCAUACUAAAGCUGUAAAGUAUUUCAGAUACCUAGUCCAUGAAUUUUCUAAUAAUUUAGGGGAGGUUCCCAAACUGAGGUAGUAUUAAAAUAUUGAGGAAAUCAAAAAUAAUAUUUGAGUCAUUAAAAUCAAAGUAAUGAGCAAUCAGAGAGAUGAUUUAAGUCAUUUUAGGGAAAAGUUUCCCUUAUUACAGAGGAGCAUGGUAAAUCAAUGCAUGAGAGACUAAAUAAUUAUUUUAGAUGUGUUGUGCAAUGUCCAGCAGAAUUUAAAUCACAGAAAGGUUUACAUUUGAACAGUGAAAGAUACCUGCAGUAUUCAUAGAUACCUGCGAAUAGUUAGGCAAAUAUGUUUUCAAAUAAAAUACAAAGUUUACACUUGUUUUGCCUAACACGGUUGUACAGGCCAAUGAUUAAAUGCACCAACUUUGGAAUCAAGAUUUCCUGGAUUCAAAUUCAAGCUCCACCAUUGGCAAAUUAUUUAACCUACAUGUGCCUCAGUUCCCUCAUCUAUAUGUGGAGGCAAUAGUUACACUCUCUUAUAAUGUUUUUGUUAGCAUUGUCAGAAGAUAGCUCAUGUGGAGCAUUUUAGAAGAAUACUUAUGUUUAACAGCCAACAGGUUUGCUUAUUAAACUGUAGAGAAAAAUUAAAAAGAAAAAUCAAGAAGUUCUUCACUAGUUUAAUUUUUCUACAAAUGAUAAAAUGUUUCUGAUUAUAUAUGCUAUGAAUUUGUUUAAUGUCUUGUUGAGGCAUCUGAAGUGUGUGUGCAUGUAAAUAUUGGCACAUUUCUGAACACAAUUUACACCGAGCCAAAGAGAGUCACUAAUAUUUGUUAAAUUGCUUUUCUAAAGUGGGAAAAGUAGCAUCUUUUCCAAAGGGUGCUUUAUUCACACUAACUAAUUAAGUGAAUGAGCUUUCUGGUUUUAAUUAAGUGGAGUGUUUGUAUAUGUAUAUGCUUGUUUAUAUACUCAGCAGCAAUAAGGGUGAGAUUUUAAUAUAGAAAGGAAGAAAUAGCCACUAAGAAAGUUCAAGCCCAUUCAAGUAAAAAUCCUAACCUGAUAGUUUUAGGCAAUGCAAAGUUAAUGGACUGGUUUGAAUUCCAUAAAGUGGUACUUUUUUAUCAUCUGAAAUGGCUCAUGGAUCUCAUAUGAACAUACCUAAUAUUUCUGGAGCAUUAACUCUUCAGAGGUAUAAUCACACUGUGUAUCAAUAAAGAUAAAAUACGUGAUAAGUGAAAUUUUGCUUUCUGGCUGCUUUGGGAUUAUGUGGCUAAUGACCAUCAGGCAGACACUCAGGCAAUUACAAUGGGGAGAUUUCUUAGCUCUGAAAGCACAGGCAAGAUUCCAAAAUGUGCAAAACAAGCAGAGCAUAGAGUAGGGGCAAAGGUGAUAUAUUCAUGGAUGAGUGCAAGUUUUGGUUUUCAGGAGUUCAAGGAGCAAGUCUGUUCAGAAUAUUGUUAUAAAGCAGAUAGAGGACAAAAGCAUAAUUGAAAUAACCGGAAUGUACAUAGGCUAACUGCAUUGCUUUAUGUGGUGUGGUUCUGUGGAAAGAUUAUUAGACUUACAAGAGUGAGGACUCACAGUUCUGCCAGCAAAUAAGCUGAGUGGCUUCAGACAAGCCACUUUACUUAUCUCUGGGCCUCAGUUUUCCCGUUUAUGGAUUAAAGACAUUCACAGACAUUGGCUGAGUGCCCGCAAUGUGCCAGCUAUUGAGCUAAACUUGGGAUGCUAGAAAAGACAAUCCCUUUUCUGGAUUAGGAAGUUUACAUUUUAAAGAUGCAAGAAGGCACUAAACAAGGGCAGUGAGGUACAACAAGCUCUGUGGUUUUAUUUCUCCUAAAUGGGAGGAAACAUAGAGAGGAAGAAAAGUAUGCAAUCUCAGUUGCAAAUGGAGGCAGGGGCUCACCAUGUUCUCUGAUACGAUUGUACCGCCCAUUGGUAAGAAUCAGAGGCUGAAAAGAUUCUGUUACUGAAACUCAACACUUAGUUGAUACCUGCUACAACUUUAACUACUCGUUGACUGUUUACGGCUUUUGCUGUAAGUUGGAGUAUGGUGACAAACACACAACUGAGGCCUUUGAGAUACUAUAUGAACUGCUCCAACAUUCUGAAGAGAAGGUCUGGAUCAUUUAAGUAGGACUUGCAAAGAAAGUGGCCUAGAUCCUUAGCUGAGCUGAUCACUUACCUCAAACCUAUAAAGAAGUGGAGGGGCCAAGAAUAGGUGUUGGAUAUCAGCGGGAGAGUUUCAUCAAAGAGCUGUCAGUUUCAUCUCAACCUUACCCUCCAGGAGAGGUAAGAUGUCCUCUGUCUCACAAUAAAUGAGUUUGACUUUUGGUCCUGGGCAUCUGUGGUACUGAGAGCUUAGGGCUGGCUCCAUGCUUUAAAAUAUGUAUAUGUGAGAACUGCAUGAACUCGCCAGUGCGGAGAUGAAAAAGAAAGAAAAAAGUCAGGAAGCUCCAGAAGCUUUCUACAUUUCCAUUUGAGAUAAGGACAAGGAUGCUUGAAUGUUUUUCUUGAAGAAGUGAACAAAUGGAACAGAAAUCUACAUUUUACCUGAGAGAGGAAAGAGAGUGCAUAACUGUUUCUCAUGAACCACAGUGAAGUUUGAGAGCAUAGGCUCAGAACCAACUCAAAUCCUCUAUACAAAGAUUGCCUGGAGAGU
rnacentral:lncRNA from 1 species